UUGUCCCACGCUUUCGUGCAUGAGCGUCAGUGUUAUCCCAGGAGGCUGCCUUCGCCAUCGGUGUUCCUCCGCAUAUCUACGCAUUUCACUGCUACACGCGGAAUUCCACCUCCCUCUGACACACUCUAGCCCGGUAGUUAAAAAUGCAGUUCCAAAGUUAAGCUCUGGGAUUUCACAUCUUUCUUUCCGAACCGCCUGCGCACGCUUUACGCCCAGUAAUUCCGAUUAACGCUUGCACCCUACGUAUUACCGCGGCUGCUGGCACGUAGUUAGCCGGUGCUUAUUCUGCAGGUACCGUCAGUUUCACGGGGUAUUAACCCAUGACGUUUCUUUCCUGCCAAAAGUGCUUUACAACCCGAAGGCCUUCAUCGCACACGCGGGAUGGCUGGAUCAGGGUUUCCCCCAUUGUCCAAAAUUCCCCACUGCUGCCUCCCGUAGGAGUCUGGGCCGUGUCUCAGUCCCAGUGUGGCUGGUCGUCCUCUCAAACCAGCUACGGAUCGUCGCCUUGGUGAGCCGUUACCCCACCAACUAGCUAAUCCGAUAUCGGCCGCUCCAAUAGUGCAAGGUCUUNCGAUCCCCUGCUUUCCCCCGUAGGGCGUAUGCGGUAUUAGCUACGCUUUCGCGUAGUUAUCCCCCGCUACUGGGCACGUUCCGAUACAUUACUCACCCGUUCGCCACUCGCCACCAGACCGAAGUCCGUGCUGCCGUUCGACUUNAUGUGUAAGGCAUCCCGCUGCGUUCAAUCUGAGCAGGA
rnacentral:rRNA from 1 species